CAUGCAAGUCGAACGGCAGCACGGAGCUUGCUCUGGUGGCGAGUGGCGAACGGGUGAGUAAUAUAUCGGAACGUACCCUGGAGUGGGGGAUAACGUAGCGAAAGUUACGCUAAUACCGCAUACGAUCCAAGGAUGAAAGCAGGGGACCGCAAGGCCUUGUGCUCCUGGAGCGGCCGAUAUCUGAUUAGCUAGUUGGUGGGGUAAAGGCCCACCAAGGCAUCGAUCAGUAGCUGGUCUGAGAGGACGACCAGCCACACUGGAACUGAGACACGGUCCAGACUCCUACGGGAGGCAGCAGUGGGGAAUUUUGGACAAUGGGCGCAAGCCUGAUCCAGCAAUGCCGCGUGAGUGAAGAAGGCCUUCGGGUUGUAAAGCUCUUUUGUCAGGGAAGAAAAGGCUGUGGCUAAUAUCUGCGGCUCAUGACGGUACCUGAAGAAUAAGCACCGGCUAACUACGUGCCAGCAGCCGCGGUAAUACGUAGGGUGCAAGCGUUAAUCGGAAUUACUGGGCGUAAAGCGUGCGCAGGCGGUUUUGUAAGUCUGUUGUGAAAUCCCCGGGCUCAACCUGGGAAUGGCAAUGGAGACUGCAAGGCUAGAGUUUGGCAGAGGGGGGUAGAAUUCCACGUGUAGCAGUGAAAUGCGUAGAUAUGUGGAGGAACACCGAUGGCGAAGGCAGCCCCCUGGGUC
rnacentral:rRNA from 1 species